CACCUGCCCGAAGUUACCAAGGUGUGAUUAGAGAAGCUUGUGCAUCCACAGCAGAACACAGGUGCCUGAUAUUCACUAGUGAUGGGGAGUUGCUGAUGUGAGCAGUAACAAGAUGCAAGAUCUUUUCCAUAGAAACCAGGUACUGCAAACUGCCAUAGGAAGGUGCUCAGAAACCAGAGUCAAGGGCCACUCUCUGCAGGAAACAGGACAUGCUAACAGGGGUCAAUCACCUUCCUCCCUUUUGAAGUCUGAAAACACUACACCCAACAUCCUCUUCUGUCUUUAGCUAAAGGUGAUGUUAAGGCGAGGGCUUCAAACAUUUUGACCAGCCAGAAGAACCUAGAAGUGUAGAGGAAAUGAUUUUCCUCCCCAUUACCAGCAAGCUUGAAAUCCAGCUUUUCAUCAUGGAACCAGCCUCCUCUUUGAAUAAACCCAUAACCAAUGCAGAAAAGUAGUCGUCAAUUUUCUCCACUAGAUAAGCCUCCUCAAGAAGAGACACAGAUGACAAAAAAAUAAAGCCGACUGGCACUUUGGGUCAGAAGGAAGC